GAUAAACGCUGGCGGCGUGCCUAACACAUGCAAGUCGAGCGAUUUACUUCGGUAAAGAGCGGCGGACGGGUGAGUAACGCGUGGGUAACCUGCCUCAUACACAUGGAUAACAUACCGAAAGGUAUGCUAAUACAAGAUGAUAUAAGAGAUUCGCAUGGAUUUCUUAUCAAAGCUCCGGCGGUAUGAGAUGGACCCGCGUCUGAUUAGCUAGUUGGUAAGGUAACGGCUUACCAAGGCGACGAUCAGUAGCCGACCUGAGAGGGUGAUCGGCCACAUUGGAACUGAGACACGGUCCAAACUCCUACGGGAGGCAGCAGUGGGGAAUAUUGCACAAUGGGCGAAAGCCUGAUGCAGCAACGCCGCGUGAGCGAUGAAGGCCUUCGGGUCGUAAAGCUCUGUCCCCAAGGAAGAUAAUGACGGUACUUGAGGAGGAAGCCCCGGCUAACUACGUGCCAGCAGCCGCAGUAAUAC
rnacentral:rRNA from 1 species